rnacentral:rRNA from 1 species
AUACGGAGGGUGCAAGCGUUACUCGGAAUCACUGGGCGUAAAGCGCGCGCAGGCGGCUAUUUAAGUUGGAUGUGAAAGCCUACGGCUCAACCGUAGAACUGCAUCCAAAACUAUUUAGCUAGAGUGUGGGAGAGGAAGAUGGAAUUAGUUGUGUAGGGGUAAAAUCCGUAGAGAUAACUAGGAAUACCAAAAGCGAAGGCAAUCUUCUGGAACACUACUGACGCUGAGGCGCGAAAGCGUGGGGAGCAAGCAGGAUUAGAUACCCUAGUAGUCC